rnacentral:rRNA from 1 species
CAGUCGCCACGGUAAUACGUAGGUGGCAAGCGUUGUCCGGAAUUAUUGGGCGUAAAGGGCUCGCAGGCGGUUUCUUAAGUCUGAUGUGAAAGCCCCCGGCUCAACCGUGGAGGGUCAUUGGAAACUGGGAAACUUGAGUGCAGAAGAGGAGAGUGGAAUUCCACGUGUAGCGGUGAAAUGCGUAGAGAUGUGGAGGAACACCAGUGGCGAAGGCGACUCUCUGGUCUGUAACUGACGCUGAGGAGCGAAAGCGUGGGGAGCGAACAGGAUUAGAUACCCCUGUAGUCCCUGUCUCUUAUAC